rnacentral:lncRNA from 1 species
AGAGUAUUAAACACUGUAGCUAAGCUGCAAUAUUAAAUCCCAAUAUCUCCACUGGUAGAAUAAAGUAAUUCAAGAAAAGCGCGGAAUGAAUGCAAUAUCCCAAAUCCCCCAUUAACUGGAUGAAACACAGUGCAGAGAGUCAACUGAGGUUUUUAUUCACAGGUCACAGUAUUUAUGUGGUUCCCCAUGCAAGGGGUUUCCUUAAUCACUUUACAGGGGUUGUACAGUAGGGGACUACAUGGGGAACUGAACAUACAGGACCAUUUUCCCACCAUGCACUGCUGUACGAGAGGGAUACUCCCAUAAGAAUAUCCUGUUAAGUGGAUUAUCCCUCUGUACAGCAGAACCAGUCUUUUUACUUAAAAAUUUAUAACUUGCACGUUAUUCGUGCUAUUUAACCGAAUGACAUAUAGGUAGAUAGCUGGGAUCUGAGCGCAUACUUCAGGAAACUACCGGUCAGAUCCCAGCACAAUUAGCCGAAUGCCACACGAAAUACACUUUAAUAUGAACUCAUAAGAAAAUAGACGGAUGCACAGUUUGAAGGAAAGUAACGAAAGACCGGUGGUCCAGAAUGGUCUGGAAGACCAGCGGUGUUCGUGCCAUCGAGAAGCCGAUUUUAGUUCCAGGCACUCGACGACCAAACACUGCUGGGCUAAAAGGGAAUCCAAGAUGGCCGCCGCCGCAUGGUCGGUAUCCAAACGGUGGACACCCUGCAAAUCAAUUAACCAGGGAACGAUACAUUGUUGCAAUCUGUUAAUGCGAGCCUCACGACUUUCUGUGUGUGGUCUCCCAUUCGGUACUUUGUUCGUUUCACGAAUAGUUUUGAAAGUCACUGUUCGUGAAACUGCCAUAGGAAUGCUAGCGGCUUUUGCGCCACUAGCAUACGAAUGCCCUCUAUCACCUCUUAAAGCGAACACAUAAAAUAACAUAUAUUAAACAGUCUUUCCAGGACAACCAUCAUAUAUACAGGAAUAGUCUUAAGUGGCUAGGUUUGCCACAAACACUCAAGCUGGAAAAAACGUUGAGUUGGAGAUUUUUAUUUCCAGAUAGAUUAUAUUGGCCCAGCUCUUACAUUCCUUGAUGAGCUUCCUGAGAUUCCCAGCUUAUUUGAUAAACCUGUUAGAGAUCCAUGGUACAUUUCAAUAUUUUACCGUUUUACCACUGGUACCUAAAUUUGAUACUCUCUGAAAGGAUAGGUCUGCACAGAGUAAGUGUGAGUGAUGUUUCAAUGUCUUCUAAAAGAUAUUGGAAAAAUGAAUGAAACGCGCCUGCUAAUUCUAUUGGUUUCCAUAGUGAUUGCACCACUUUUAAUACUUUAGAAUACUUUUUUAGACAAUAACACUGUGAUAAAUUCCAUCCAUUGAGCUGGGAAUCCAAAUAUAACAUGGCGACCGUCACCAGCAGGUGAAAAUUAACCAUUGACAUUUGUUCUCUGUUCUCCAACUCAGCUAUUUUGGCCUUGAUUCUACAAGUUAGUCGUCGAUUCAUCACAACUCAAUGUUAACUAAAUAAAUGCCAUAAUUAUUAGAAAUAAGAAUAAAAAGUAUGAUCCAACUAAAAUGAUGCUGAGUAAGUUUUAUAUAGAACAGUACACAGUAUACAGAAAAGGCACCAAACAUAAUUAGCAUGCUCAGUUAUUAGUCAGUGUCCACUUGUACACAUGAACGGUUCCUGUACUGAAAAUACAGUCCUUUUCAUAUCAAUAUUUAAGGUUUAAAAUUUGAAUUGUAAGGAAAUUAGAAAGGCAAAAUGGCUAAAUUGUCAAUAGUGUGAAACUCAGCUGUUUUACAGCUCCCCUAUGUUUGAUUAAAAGUUGCAAUUCCCUUGUCUUUCUUAAACUGUUCUUAGUUUAGUGAAUACAGCCCAUGUUAUUGUGAAGCACUGUUUCUUUAAACCAAUUACCAGUGUAUGGUAGUUAGAGGAACACCUACACUGCCAACAUUUUUCAGAAAUGAAAAUCCCUGUUUAGUAGAUAUACCCCUAUUGAAAAUGUGUGCAAUUAUGUAUGCAUUUUUGCAAUGAGGCAUAUCUAUAAACAGCUUCCAAAAGCUGCAGAUCUCUUGUCUGCUGCCUUUGCAAGCCCACCCCUUCUUCCCCAGCCUACACUUUCUGUGGCUGUCCAAUCAUUGACUGUGCAAGACACGUGCUCUGAGCAAUUGCCUGCCUCUUCAGUUUAGUUCCAGGAAAUACAUGAUCGGUUGGCUAAUUGACAGCAAGGAGGUUAAAGCAAGGUUUAUUUAUAAAAGUGCCAAUUUAUAUUGAAAUCUUCACUUUUUGUAAAAUUAAAAAAGAGGACACACUCUUCACACAUAAAACAUUUCAGCAAGCUAAAGUGCUUUAUAGGUCUGGAGUGCCCCUUUAACAUAAUUUGCAACAGUCUCAGAUAUCCUUU